rnacentral:rRNA from 1 species
CAGCAGCCGCGGUAAUACGAGGGGGGCAAGCGUUGUUCGGAAUUAUUGGGCGUAAAGGGUGCGUAGGCGGUUUGAUAAGUCUUGUGUGAAAUCUCUGGGCUCAACCCAGAGCCUGCACAGGAAACUGUCGGGCUUGAGAGUGGGAGAGGUGAGUGGAAUUUCCGGUGUAGCGGUGAAAUGCGUAGAUAUCGGAAGGAACACCUGUGGCGAAAGCGGCUCACUGGACCAUUUCUGACGCUGAUGCACGAAAGCUAGGGGAGCAAACAGGAUUAGAUACCCCCGUAGUCCCUGUCUCUUAUAC